ACCGGUGGCUUGACGGCAGGCGGGAGGGUGACCGGUGGUUUAAUGGGUGGUAGAGUCACCGGCGGAAGGGUGACUGGUGGUUUCAAAAUUGGAGGCAAGGUGACUGGUGGAACUGUCACCGGAGGGAGGGUCACUGGAGGUUUCAAAUUUGGAGGCAAGGUGACUGGUGGUUUUACAAUUGGUGUCGGGGAGACUGGUGGUUUUACAAUUGGUGGCAGGGUGACUGGUGGUUUUUUGACUGGUGGUUUUACAAUUGGUGGCAGGGUGAAUGGUGGUUUUACAAUUGGUGGCAGGGUGAAUGGUGGUUUUACAAUUGGUGGUUUUUUAACUGGUGGCUUGCCGAUAGGCGGCAGGGUGACUGGGGUGGGCUUGGGGAGGGGUUUGGUACAGUAUCCACAAUCAGGAGUGAUGACAUCAGAGGCUGAGGAAAUGAAGAACACGGAAAUGAGAAAAAGGGCUGUAAGCGUAGAGGACUCCAUAUU
rnacentral:lncRNA from 1 species